rnacentral:rRNA from 1 species
AGUCGAGGGGUAUAAGUCUUCGGACUUUGAGACCGGCGCACGGGUGCGUAACGCGUAUGCAAUCUACCUUUUACAGAGGGAUAGCCCAGAGAAAUUUGGAUUAAUACCUCAUAGUAUUAUGAAAUGGCAUCAUUUUAUAAUUAAAGUCACAACGGUAAAAGAUGAGCAUGCGUCCCAUUAGCUAGUUGGUAAGGUAACGGCUUACCAAGGCUACGAUGGGUAGGGGUCCUGAGAGGGAGAUCCCCCACACUGGUACUGAGACACGGACCAGACUCCUACGGGAGGCAGCAGUGAGGAAUAUUGGACAAUGGGCGCAAGCCUGAUCCAGCCAUGCCGCGUGCAGGAUGACGGUCCUAUGGAUUGUAAACUGCUUUUAUACGAGAAGAAACACUACUUCGUGAAGUAGCUUGACGGUAUCGUAAGAAUAAGGAUCGGCUAACUCCGUGCCAGCAGCCGCGGUAAUACGGAGGAUCCAAGCGUUAUCCGGAAUCAUUGGGUUUAAAGGGUCCGUAGGCGGUUUAAUAAGUCAGUGGUGAAAGCCCAUCGCUCAACGGUGGAACGGCCAUUGAUACUGUUAAACUUGAAUUAUUAGGAAGUAACUAGAAUAUGUAGUGUAGCGGUGAAAUGCUUAGAGAUUACAUGGAAUACCAAUUGCGAAGGCAGGUUACUACUAAUGGAUUGACGCUGAUGGACGAAAGCGUGGGUAGCGAACAGGAUUAGAUACCCUGGUAGUCCACGCCGUAAACGAUGGAUACUAGCUGUUGGAAGCAAUUUCAGUGGCUAAGCGAAAGUGAUAAGUAUCCCACCUGGGGAGUACGUUCGCAAGAAUGAAACUCAAAGGAAUUGACGGGGGCCCGCACAAGCGGUGGAGCAUGUGGUUUAAUUCGAUGAUACGCGAGGAACCUUACCAAGGCUUAAAUGUAGAUUGACCGAUUUGGAAACAGAUCUUUCGCAAGACAAUUUACAAGGUGCUGCAUGGUUGUC